CAUCGAUUGUCUUGUUUCUUUGUGUUCACUGUGAAUGCCUGCAAGAAAAUGAAUCUUAGGUUUGUAUGUGGUGACAUAUAUGCACUUUGAUAAUUUAAUUUGAAAUUUGAGGAACAGCAAGGAGAUAAUGACCGGAAAAUGGGUUUAAUUGAUUGAAAGUUGAAUCAUUCACUUUAAAAAUUUGCCUUUAAAAUCUUCCAGUUUGUCCAAAGGGACUCUGAAUUUUGAGCGUAGUCCAAGGGAUGUACAGCACCUCAGAUAGUGCCACGCCCUCUCUGCACUGCGGCGGAAUGCUAGCUCAGAAUCCAGUGCUCGAAAUCACAGAAGAGUUCACUGAGUUUUAAUAAAAAUUGUAUAGAACAGAGGGAAAUAAUAAGCGCCAGGCCAACAGGACCACUAAUUUAAAAACUCCCAAGUUAAUUAAAAGCUAAAACUGUCACUGCAGCUCAAAAGCAGUAACCUAGAACUAAAUUAAUACCACUGCUUUAACAACAUCUAUCUAAAUCACUAUUCUUCUUUCCCGGUAUGUGGACCAAGGUAAGAAGGGCAUUGUCACUAUCCUUCAAUCCAAACUUGACAAGAAUGAAACAAAAGGAAGGUAGUUAAAUACAAUUACAAAGAAACCCCAAUUAGCUGAAAAGUAUGUAUUCUCCUGUGUGUGAUAGGCAUCUUCUUUCAGAGGCCCGUCUGCGAGUGGGCCCAGACUCUGUAGUCGUUCCGCGGUUGUGACAGACUGUGCUAAUUCUUUGAUAUUGCAUGGACAAUGUACAAGAGUUGAUCUACAAAACACUCAACCUCAGAAAGCUCACUGAUUUAAAACUUGGUUCCUGCUCAAAGAUUGCAAAAUAUUCGCCAGUCAACAGAUGUUGGCUCACUCUGCGGUACUAACGCAGGAUCAGAAAUGGAGGAUGUUAUAGGACUUUAUUAAGACAGUGAUGAGUUGUUGGUUCAAAAUUGAGGAAAGAUUGCUUUGACAGAAGAUUGGUACUGAAGGCAAGCAGCAAUGAUAGACAUUCAGUACAGAGGUAGUGCUGUACUGUUAGGGUACAGAUCUAAGAGAAUACUGCACUGUCAUUGAGGGGAAAUAGUGGGAGCAUCGCAUUGUCCGAGGACAUUUUGCAGUGUCAGAAGGUUAGUCUCUUGCGGUAAGGAUCUGUGAUGAAAUUGUUGAGUGAAAGUCUCCAUCGAAGAGAUAUAAUCUUCUUCGUACAUCCUUUGUAUUGGAGUCAGCUCCAUCAUGGACACUAGCCUCCCCCGCAUCCAGGACAUCUUCAAGGAGCGAUGCCUCAAAAGGGCUGCAUCCAUCAUUAAGGACACCAUCACCAAGGACAUGCCCUCUUCUCAUUGUGACCAUCAGGAAGGAGGUACAGGAGGCUGAAGCCACACAUUCAAUGAUUCAGGAACAGCUUCUUCCCCUCUGUCAUCCAAUUUGUAAAUAGAUAUUGAAACCAUGAACACCUCCUCACUACAUUUUUUCCUUUUUUUGGCACUAGUUUUCAGUUUUUUAAUGUUAUGUAUGCAUUGUACUGCUGCUGUAAAACAACAGAAUUCAUGACGUAUGCUGGUGAUGUUAAACCUGAUUCUGAGUAAUUAGAGGAACUACUUUAUUUCUGCUAAUGUAGGAAUUGUAUGUGGCAGUGGAAACGGUGAAGAAUAGAAGCAGAUAUCCAAAGUAUUUAUUUAUUGUUCAUUCAUUGAGAUACAGUGUGGGGGAGGAAAGCCCUUCUGUCCCUCCAAGCUGCACCACCCAGCAAUCCCCUGAUUUAACCCAAGCCUAAUCACUGUACAAUUUACAGUGACCAAUUAAUCUACCAACUGGGACAUCUUUGGACUGUGGGAGGAAACCCACGCAGUCACAGGGAGAAUGUACAUGCUCCUUACAGGCAGCAGUGGGAAUAGAACCCUAGUCGCUGGUACUGUAAAGUGUCGUGUUAACUUCUACGCUACAUGUGGAGUACCAGAUCCAACUGAAGCUGAAUUUCCACCCCAAAGAGUUUAAUUUCCCGAUUCCAUCAUUUCCCAUCAAACAUGAUGUAUAAUUUAUCUGCUGCUGAAGCACAAGAACAAAAUAUGCAAGCACACAAAAUUCAAGUGGGAAAAGUUAAGGAGAAAAAAAAAGCUUGGGUCUGAUUCAACUGUCCACCGGGUGAAAUAGGUUAAAAUGAUUAUCUAUUGCAAUAGCAAUAAAAGAAAGUACAAAGUGGAUUUAUUUAUCAUCUUUAAGAACCCUCAAGACAUUUGAAAGCACUUUCGACUCAAUGAAACAUUUUUCAAUUGUCAUCACUUGUGAACGAUCUGGAGAAAUGGCACUGUGAUUUGCUCUUAUGAAUUGAGGAACUGAUGUUUGUGGUGGUGUAGGGCUAUUGAACGAGAAGCACCAAAAGGAGGUCAAUGGGUACUGCUAUAUAAAUCAGUUAUUCCCUGUUGGAAUGAAAGGAUUGGCUCAAAGCUCAAAGUAAACUUAUUAUUGAAGUACAUGUAUGUCACAAUAUACAACACUAAGAUUCAUUUUCUGUGGGCAUUCAUAGUAAAUCCAAGAAACAUGAUAGAAUCAAUGAAUGACCACCCCCAACAGGAUGGACAAAUAGCCAAUGAGCAAAAGACAACAAACUGUGCAAAUAAAAAAAGAAACAAUAAAUGUAAAUUGUAGAAUCCUUAAAAGUGAGACCAUAGGUUGUGGAAUCUGUUCAGUGAGUGAAGUUAUUCCCUCUGGGUCCAGGAGCCUGAUGGUUGAGGGGUAAUAAUAGUUCCUGAACCUGGUGGGGACUUGAGGCUUCUGUACCUUCUUCAAAGAAAUGAAAGAGCUUUUAUUCUUUCCAUGGUUUUGAUUUUGCAAUGGACACAGAGCCCAUUGAGUGAGAUCCUGAAAGGAAUUGAAUCAGCUCUCACAAGGGAUGGAGGAGGGAAAGCAGUAAAGGAAUACGGUAUUGAUGUACUGAGACCUCAUGAGUUCAUGAGGGGUCGUCUGACUGAACAGCAGAUCUUAGUUACCAGAACCCAGGAAGGCUGAGCCCAGAAUCGGAGAAGGUUUCUGUGCGAUUGGGCAGCGCCGGUGCCGGGCAUCGUGAUGGCUCCAGAUCCGCAUGGUGUGAUGUAUGCAGCCGGCCCUCUGCAGCUUCCUCAGUUGUUCCUGGCUGCGUCGGUUCUUCUGCCACUGCUUCUCAUCCCAGUCUUGAUCAUAUGUGCAUUCUGCAGGAGAUUUUCUGAAAGAGUGCGAUGCUUUGAUGGACAGUUGAAAGCGACGUUUACCAAGAAUAACAGUGGUUCUGUUCGACUCAGCAACGACCUGGACAGUACAAGUGAAAAAGGAAUGAUUACACGGAGAGUUGACCUGCAGACAGUAACAGAGAUCAAUGAAUCCCAAGUUGUCCAAAACAUCCCAAGUACUCAGUUGACUAACCAUGCAGGGAAUGACGUGAGCAAUGAUGAACGUUUGUAUGAAGAAUUGAGAGACGUCCAUGUAAGUUAUUGGAACACAAACAGGGGAAGUCUAAGUGUACUGAAGCCAAAUUGUAUGAACCGAUCUGAGGAAAUGUCCUCAGCAGAAUUAAACUGUAACCCUGAGGUGAGUGAGUCUACAAGUGAGGAAACACAAGCACCGAUUUAUGCAAGAGUGGUCAAACAGAGAAGCAAAGAGAGUCAAUCACGGGUUCGGGAGAGACCUGAAGUUGAAGAUGAAGGGAACAUGGAUGAAGCGCCACCAGUCCCAGCCAAGCAUUUGGACGAUGAUGAUUCAGCUCCAUGUUAAAGAUAUGAGGUUUUAUCACAGCAUGUCCAGAGCAUUAAUCUUCAUUUCAUGGAGACUUUGGACAAUCCUACAGUUGAUGCACUCUUGGCGUCAAGGCAAUGGAGAGUAGUGUGAGUUUCAUGCGGACGCAGGGCCACUUUAGUCCAUGUGGUUCUUGAACCUUCCUUUACAUUUGUGCCUGCAAAUGCUGACUGUAUCCAGCAGACUGAAAGACAAGAUUCAAGAUUGAAAUGUGUUUAUUUACCACAUGUACAAUAAAAUGCGUCAUUUGCGGUAACAGUCGACACAAUCUGCUGGGGGCUGCCCUCAAGUGUCAUCACACAUUCCUGUGCCAACAAUGGCUGACAGAACUCAACAAGCAACAGAACUGCAGCAGUAGAACCGACCCCACUCCUCCCUCCCUCCCUCCCACACACAUACACAGUCCUGUAAUACGAAGACCAUCUGUCUUCUUUGGUCUGCAGCCUCGUACCACACAGACAUCGGUUCUUUAACCACUCCAGAGUGGACUCGCAGAAAUUCAUGGGCACGGAGCUCCAAUCAAUGGGCCUCGACUUCCAGGCUUCUGACUCGACCCCUGGGCCUUGGUCCUCGGCAUCAACACUAGCACCCACCAAUCACUGAGCACCUCGAACUCUAGACUCGCCGAUGAUGGGACUCAAGCCCUAGGCCUCGGACUCUCGACUCGCUGAUUCGCAGACCCGUUAACUAUGAGCACCACAGUGUCACACUGAAAGUAAACUCACAUUGAGCAAUAUAUUUAAUGUUGAAGCUAAAUUCAUGGUAGACUGCUUGAAUGUUUCGACAUCUACUGUUCAAUCCCAAUGCAGUUUCCCACUCUGUACAGUCUUGAUAUAUACCAAUUGUAUCUUGGCUCAUGUUCAGCCCUGAGUUACAAGACCUAUGCCAGGACUUUACAAUAUAAUUCAGACUGUCGCUCUGAUAAAUGCAGUAUUGUUGGAGAUGUAGUGCUUCACAAUUCAUCUACCUGGACAUUAAAGAUCAAAUGCUCAGGUAGUAAGUAUUCUCACAAUGUCGAUCUUCUCUUGACCAAGAGUGUGUGACUUUUUAUUACACCUGAUACUACUUUGGGAUUUUGUUGCAAGUAAUCAUUUUAUUUGUGUACAAGUUGCUGCUUUUCAUUGUAAUGUAUUGUUUAUAGGAUGCUGAAAGGUAAUAAUAUGAUGAAAUUAUUGAAAAGACUUUUUUUAUAUUAUUUGUAUGUUUGCAACUGGCUAGUUCUGACUCAGCCCAUGUGGCUGGGAUGAUCUGGGUUCUGUUCCUGUCUUGAUCUGACGCUGGUGGAUUACCUGCUCUCAGCUCAGAAUUCCUCCUGUUGCUCGUCUCUGAAUACAGACAAGAUCAAACAUGAGGCUCUUUUAUAAACAGCACGUGUUCAGUGCUUGGGCUGAGGUGUGAGAGAAUGAUUACUUAACUAACGCAUGCUAUCAGGACUUCAAACGUCUGCAGGGGAAUUCUUCAAUUCCUCACUCUGGACUCUUACCUCUUCUCACCUCGCCUUUCCUUCCCUUUCUUCCUUGGUCGACUCUCCUCUCCUAUCAGAUUCCUUCUUCUCCAGACCUUUGCCUUUCCUACCAAUCACCUCCCACUUUCUUACUUCAUCCCAUCCCACCCCCACCCACC